AGUGAACGCUGGCGGUAGGCCUAACACAUGCAAGUCGAACGGCAGCACAGUAAGAGCUUGCUCUUACGGGUGGCGAGUGGCGGACGGGUGAGGAAUACAUCGAAAUCUACUUUUUCGUGGGGGAUAACGUAGGGAAACUUACGCUAAUACCGCAUACGACCUACGGGUGAAAGCAGGGGAUCUUCGGACCUUGCGCGAUUGAAUGAGCCGAUGUCGGAUUAGCUAGUUGGCGGGGUAAAGGCCCACCAAGGCGACGAUCCGUAGCUGGUCUGAGAGGAUGAUCAGCCACACUGGAACUGAGACACGGUCCAGACUCCUACGGGAGGCAGCAGUGGGGAAUAUUGGACAAUGGGCGCAAGCCUGAUCCAGCCAUACCGCGUGGGUGAAGAAGGCCUUCGGGUUGUAAAGCCCUUUUGUUGGGAAAGAAAGGCAGCAGGUUAAUACCCCGCUGUUCUGACGGUACCCAAAGAAUAGGCACCGGCUAACUUCGUG
rnacentral:rRNA from 1 species